rnacentral:rRNA from 1 species
UGGGGAAUCUUCGGCAAUGGACGGAAGUCUGACCGAGCAACGCCGCGUGAGUGAAGAAGGUUUUCGGAUCGUAAAGCUCUGUUGUAAGAGAAGAACGAGUGUGAGAGUGGAAAGUUCACACUGUGACGGUAUCUUACCAGAAAGGGACGGCUAACUACGUGCCAGCAGCCGCGGUAAUACGUAGGUCCCGAGCGUUGUCCGGAUUUAUUGGGCGUAAAGCGAGCGCAGGCGGUUAGAUAAGUCUGAAGUUAAAGGCUGUGGCUUAACCAUAGUACGCUUUGGAAACUGUUUAACUUGAGUGCAAGAGGGGAGAGUGGAAUUCCAUGUGUAGCGGUGAAAUGCGUAGAUAUAUGGAGGAACACCGGUGGCGAAAGCGGCUCUCUGGCUUGUAACUGACGCUGAGGCUCGAAAGCGUGGGGAGCAAACAGGAUUAGAUACCCUGGUAGUCCACGCUGUAAACGAUGAUCAUUAGUCGGUGGAAAACUACUGACGCAGCUAACGCAUUAAAUGAUCCGCCUGAGUAGUAUNACUCGCAAGAGUG